GGAAUCUUCCACAAUGGGCGGAAAGCCUGAUGGAGCAACGCCGCGUGUGUGAUGAAGGGUUUCGGCUCGUAAACACUGUUGUAAGAGAAGAAUGACAUUGAGAGUAACUGUUCAAUGUGUGACGGUAUCUUACCAGAAAGGAACGGCUAAAUACGUGCCAG
rnacentral:rRNA from 1 species